GUUCAUCGUUAGGACUGGUCUCGUAUCCUUUCUGGCGUUCCUGAAGGCACAGUUCUUGGCCCGAAUUUGUUUAACAUCAGUGACAUUGUCGAUGUCGUUAUUCCGGAAUCAGAGAUACCCAAGGCUCGGCCGAAUUUACACCCUAAAAGAUACAACGAUGAUCCCCGUCUGAUGGAUAAAGGGAGUACAGCCCCGGGAGUAUACUCCCCCAAAGACUGUAAGGUGCUCAAGUAUGACAAGACCAACUGCCCCUAUGGGCUGCCUUAUGGCUGAUGGACUUUGCUUGAAGCAAGUGCAAGUCAAUGCGUGUUACUACCAAGACUCGUAACUUUUACCGCCUACCUAUAUCAGCUGAAGGGUGCAGCUUUGGACUCAGUCAAAGAGGUGAAAUAUCGUAAACCCGCUGUGCAAUUUCUCCAGUAGCACAAAAAGUUAAGUUAAGUUUCUUAAGUUAGGUUGUGUAAGUUCAAUGGAUAAAUAAAAAAAAUAAUAUAUUGAAAGCUACUAGUUUCCCUCCUUUCAGAAUGGAAUAAUGCUGAAUAUAACGAGAGCUCAGUAAUACAAUGGUCGAGAAGAAGUAAUAUAAAUGGGGAGCCACAGGGAGCCAAAGCCACAGUUGGAGUUUUUGAGAUUUGUGUGACGAAUACUAUAAUGUAUGAUAAGAAAGAGUCUUUUUUUAACUUUACAGAAUAAUUAUACUUAGCUAGGUUAGUCUUGUGCACUUUUUUUUUUUUAGAAACACGAAUGUGCGCACAUACUACACAUUUUAGUAACACUUGCGCACCCACACUCACCCAUGUGUCGCUAUGCAUGUGUAUCUUGGGUCGACUUCCUAGCUCAAGAAUCAAAUAAUGAUCAAUGGAGGCGUUUCCUGUGUUCUUGCAUGGGACCUGAAAUGAAAUGAAUGGAUGGCAUUCCAAAAAUGCUAUUUUCACAUUUUCGAAAUAUUUAAGAUUGGAUGUAGAUAUUUUGUGAAAAAGAUAUGUAGAUAUUUUGUGUUGUAAAUUGACUAAAUUCAUCAAUAAAUAAGUAAUAUUGUU